AUGUAGUACAGUGGGGCAUGUUUAGUUUGGCCAUUGAUUUAGAGCUGUGUUACUAUCCUUUGGGGGACAGCAUAUUUAUUUUAGCGAGCCAUAAAAUUUCCCUACAGCUUUGACAAAUUCUUGAUUCACACUUAUCCAUGCAGCACUUGUGAAAGUAAAUUACAGAAACUCAGCUGUUGCCUGGGGAAAGAUUAUCAAGGUGCAGUUUGAAACAAACUUGCCAAGCCCACAUCAGCUUUCCAAAUUUUAAUGAUGCCUUUUUGAUAGCAGCAGAAUCAGUUGGCUAGAUGCAAACAUGUCAGAGCUGGAAAUGCUAGUAUUCACUAAAAAUGAAUGUUAUAUUCUCCUUCUCCUGCAUUUUGUCACAGACGUGUCUUCAAAGGUUGUAGUGUGAUUAAGAGUGUUUUAAACCUCACACUGGAAUUAGUUAAGCAAAGUGUUGCCUGUUAGAUAGCAAAUACUAUUUCAAAUUUUAAAUUGCUAAUCUUCUAUAGACCCUUUUUGUCUUCUAGGUUAUCAGCUUGCAAUCCAGCAAUCCAGCUGAGAAUACUGUUGACCAUCUGAUCAGAGUCUGACUGUCCUUUGGGGUGAGGUAGUAGGUUGUAUAGUUUUAGGGUUAUACCCUGCCUGUCAGAUAACUAUACAAUCUACUGUCUUUCCUGAAGUGGCUGUGAUAUCAACGCUGGAUACGGCUUCAAAAGAUGUAACAAAAGUCUUCUAACUUGGAUGGUCUUUGGCUAUAUCCACUCAUUAGGUAUAGCCACUUGCAACUGAGCGCUAAUGGAAUAACAAACCCUGUGUUGUUUACUUAGCUUUCAUAGAAUGCUGCAAUUUUUGUCAUCCAGAUAAAGAAACAAUUGAAUUUCCGCCAUCUGCAGUGAAUCAUGGUGACCAAUGUGUACUACAUGCUCUCCAGUGAGGAAGAUGUUAGCUCUCACUGUGCUUCCCUCCUCCCCUUGCGUGUAUGUCAGGGAAAGAACCAAAAGAAUAAGACAAAUUGCCCAGUUCUCCACAACCCUGCGCCUUGUGCAGUCAGGUAAUAUUCAACAGAAGUGGAUAUAAAAUGCUACUUUUGCACAACUGUAAAUGGCUGUUUAAAGUACAGGGAAAUGGUGAACUGUACAGAAGGCCAAAAGCUGGCCAUUUGGAAGUCAGUUUCCAUACCAAGACACUUGCUGAAGAGGUUUGUUGUUGGGUUUGUGAUUGCUGAUUUAUCUCAUUUUUUUGCAUUACAUAUAAAUGAACAGGCCUUCCUGACUGCUACUCCUAUUUCUACUGGAUUAUUCCACCCGCUUACAUGGUGGCUCCCCUGGAGAGCUCUGAGGCAGGGCUGAAAUCACAAAGUUCACAAAGAUGCUGUUCUUUCUUUAGUUAGCGAAGAACAAAUUGGCUCUGAAAGCACAGGUGAAUUCUACUGGUGAAUUGUGGAAACAAAGGCCACUGAAUUGCUAACCUUCUUCGAAGGAAUUUCCUGGUGCUCUGGCAGGGUGAGGUAGUAGGUUGUGUGGUUUCAGGGUAGUGAUUUUGCCCCAAUCAGGAGAUAACUAUACAACCUACUGCCUUCCCUGAUGAGCAGUAUUGCAGCAUCUCAGAAACUCUUAAUCCUUUCUAUUGUAAGUGAAACCAGGAUUGAAUCUACCUCCGUGACCAGAAAAGUGAGCCUAUGUGAAACUGGAGCGAUCUUGUCAAAAGCAGCUUUUGAUCUUAACUAUAGGAGAAGGAAGCACUUGCAGAUUAACUGUGUGUUUGUUUUUAAGUGUAUGUUUUAAAUUGCAUUUAUCAAAAGAAAUAAAAUAAAGACAAGUUUUGUUUGUU